rnacentral:rRNA from 1 species
AGCGGAUCCCUCCUUCUGGAGAAGGUUACCGGCGGACGGGUGCGUAUCACGUAUGCAAUCUGCCCACAAGAUCGGGAUAUCAUUCGUGAAACGAAUGCUAAGACCGGAUACUCAAGAUUGUCUCAUGGCGAUCUUGGGAAACACGGUGUAAGCUGUGGCUUGUGGAUGGGCCUGCGGCGCAUAAGCUAGUUGGUGGGGUAACGGCCUACCAAGGCGACGAUGCGUAUCCGACCUGAGAGGGUGAACGGCCACUCUGGGACUGAGACACUGUCCAUACUCCUACGGGAGGCAUCAGUAUGGAAUCUUCCUCAAUGGGCGAAAGCCUGAUGGAUCAACUCCGCGUGAGUGAGGAAGGCUUUCGGGUCGUAAAGCUCUGUUGCCAGUGAAGAAUAAGGGCUAGUUAACUGCUAUCUCGAUGACGGUACCUGAGAAGACAGCCCCGGCUAACUACGUGCCAGCAUCCGCGGUAAU